GUGGGGAAUUUUGGACAAUGGGCGCAAGCCUGAUCCAGCAAUGCCGCGUGCAGGAAGAAGGCCUUCGGGUUGUAAACUGCUUUUGUACGGAACGAAACGGUCCUGGUUAAUACCUGGGGCUAAUGACGGUACCGUAAGAAUAAGCACCGGCUAACUACGUGCCAGCAGCCGCGGUAAUACGUAGGGUGCAAGCGUUAAUCGGAAUUACUGGGCGUAAAGCGUGCGCAGGCGGUUUUGGAAGACAGGCGUGAAAUCCCCGGGCUCAACCUGGGAAUUGCGCUUGUGACUGCAAGGCUGGAGUGCGGCAGAGGGGGAUGGAAUUCCGCGUGUAGCAGUGAAAUGCGUAGAUAUGCGGAGGAACACCGAUGGCGAAGGCAAUCCCCUGGGCCUGCACUGACGCUCAUGCACGAAAGCGUGGGGAGCAAACAGGAUUAGAUACCCUAGUAGUCC
rnacentral:rRNA from 1 species